CGAGCGGANNGAUGGGAGCUUGCUCCCUGAUGUUAGCGGCGNNNNNNNNANUAANNCGUGGGUAACCUGCCUGUAAGACUGGGAUAACUCCGGGAAACCGGGGCUAAUACCGGAUGCUUGUUUGAACCGCAUGGUUCAAACAUAAAAGGUGGCUUCGGCUACCACUUACAGAUGGACCCGCGGCGCAUUAGCUAGUUGGUGAGGUAACGGCUCACCAAGGCAACGAUGCGUAGCCGACCUGAGAGGGUGAUCGGCCACACUGGGACUGAGACACGGCCCAGACUCCUACGGGAGGCAGCAGUAGGGAAUCUUCCGCAAUGGACGAAAGUCUGACGGAGCAACGCCGCGUGAGUGAUGAAGGUUUUCGGAUCGUAAAGCUCUGUUGUUAGGGAAGAACAAGUACCGUUCGAAUAGGGCGGUACCUUGACGGUACCUAACCAGAAAGCCACGGCUAACUACGUGCCAGCAGCCGCGGUAAUACNUAGGUGGCAAGCGUUGUCCGGAAUUAUUGGGCGUAAAGGGCUCGCAGGCGGUUCCUUAAGUCUGAUGUGAAAGCCCCCGGCUCAACCGGGGAGGGUCAUUGGAAACUGGGGAACUUGAGUGCAAAANGANGANAGUGGAAUUCCACNUGUAGCGGUGAAAUGCGUANAGAUGUGNAGGAACACCANUGGCGAAGGCGACUCUCUGGUCUGUAACUGACGCUGAGGAGCGAAAGCNUGGGGAGCGAACA
rnacentral:rRNA from 1 species